GACAGAGGGUGCAAACGUUGUUCGGAAUUACUGGGCGUAAAGCGUGUGUAGGCGGCCAUGUAAGUCAGGUGUGAAAGCCCUGGGCUCAACCCAGGAAGCGCACUUGAUACUGCGUGGCUUGAGUAUCGGAGAGGGUGGUAGAAUUCUCGGUGUAGAGGUGAAAUUCGUAGAUAUCGAGAGGAAUACCGGCGGCGAAGGCGGCCAACUGGACGAAUACUGACGCUGAGGCGCGAAAGCGUGGGGAGCGAACAGG
rnacentral:rRNA from 1 species